GACGAACGCUGGCGGCGUGCCUAAUACAUGCAAGUAGAACGCUGGAGGAGGAGCUUGCUUCUCUGGAUGAGUUGCGAACGGGUGAGUAACGCGUAGGUAACCUGCCUGGUAGCGGGGGAUAACUAUUGGAAACGAUAGCUAAUACCGCAUAACAGUAGAUGUUGCAUGACAUUUGCUUAAAAGGUGCAAUUGCAUCACUACCAGAUGGACCUGCGUUGUAUUAGCUAGUUGGUGGGGUAACGGCUCACCAAGGCGACGAUACAUAGCCGACCUGAGAGGGUGAUCGGCCACACUGGGACUGAGACACGGCCCAGACUCCUACGGGAGGCAGCAGUAGGGAAUCUUCGGCAAUGGACGGAAGUCUGACCGAGCAACGCCGCGUGAGUGAAGAAGGUUUUCGGAUCGUAAAGCUCUGUUGUAAGAGAAGAACGAGUGUGAGAGUGGAAAGUUCACACUGUGACGGUAUCUACCAGAAAG
rnacentral:rRNA from 1 species